GAUGAACGCUGGCGGCGUGCUUAACACAUGCAAGUCGAACGGAGACAGCAGCAAUGUUGUUUUAGUGGCGGACGGGCGAGUAACGCGUGAGCAAUCUGCCUUGUACUGGGGGAUAACGUCGAGAAAUCGGCGCUAAUACCGCAUAAGACUCCGAGAUCGCAUGGUCUUGCAGUCAAAACUCCGGUGGUACAAGAUGAGCUCGCGUCCAAUUAGCUAGUUGGUGAGGUAACGGCUCACCAAGGCGACGAUUGGUAGCCGAAUUGAGAGAUUGAUCGGCCGCAUUGGGACUGAGACACGGCCCAGACUCCUACGGGAGGCAGCAGUGGGGAAUAUUGGGCAAUGGGCGAAAGCCUGAUCCAGCAACGCCGCGUGAAGGAUGAAGGUUUUCGGAUUGUAAACUUCUUUGACCGGGGAAGAUAAUGACGGUACCCGAGGAACAAGCCACGGCUAACUACGUGCCAGCAGCCGCAGUAAAAC
rnacentral:rRNA from 1 species